CCUACGGGAGGCAGCAGUGGGGAAUAUUGCACAAUGGGGGAAACCCUGAUGCAGCGACGCCGCGUGAGUGAAGAAGGAUUUCGGUACGUAAAGCUCUAUCAGCAGGGAAGAAAAUGACGGUACCUGACUAAUAAGCGCCGGCUAACUACGUGCCAGCAGCCGCGGUAAUACGUAGGGGGCAAGCGUUAUCCGGAUGUACUGGGUGUAAAGGGAGCGUAGACGGCCGUGCAAGUCUGGAGUGAAAUCCCAUGGCUUAACCAUGGAACUGCUUAGGAAACUGGGCAGCUAGAGUGCAGGAGAGGGAAGCGGAAUUCCAGGUGUAGCGGUGAAAUGCGUAGAUAUUAGGAGGAACACCAGUGGCGAAGGCGGCUUACUGGACUGUAACUGACGUUGAGGCUCGAAAGCGUGGGGAGCAAACAGGAGUAGAUACCCCUGUAGUC
rnacentral:rRNA from 1 species